UCCUCGAUAGUAUAGUGGUGAGUAUCUCCGCCUGUCACGCGGAAGACCGGUGUUCAAUUCCCCGUCGAGGAG
rnacentral:tRNA from 1 species